CACGUAGGGUGCGAGCGUUGUCCGGAAUUAUUGGGCGUAAAGAGCUCGUAGGCGGUCUGUCGCGUCGGUCGUGAAAACCUGCAGCUUAACUGUGGGCUUGCGGUCGAUACGGGCAUGACUGGAGUUCGGCAGGGGAGACUGGAAUUCCUGGUGUAGCGGUGAAAUGCGCAGAUAUCAGGAGGAACACCGGUGGCGAAGGCGGGUCUCUGGGCCGAUACUGACGCUGAGGAGCGAAAGCGUGGGGAGCGAACAGGG
rnacentral:rRNA from 1 species